GAAGGUAUAGCUCAGUGGUAAAGUGCAUGCCUAGCACGCAGGAGGUCUUGGGUUCAAUCCCCAUUACCUCUA
rnacentral:tRNA from 1 species